UGUCCAGUAGCACCUUAGAGACCAACUAAGUUUGUUCUGGGUAUAAGCUUUCAUGCGCAUGCACACUUAUGCCCAGAACAAACUUAGGUGGUCUCUAAGGGGCUACUGGACA